CAAAUAUUAAAAUAAAAAUUAAGAAGCUAAUAAUUUAAAAAACUAAAAUUGUUUGGAUUAAAUAUGGUAUUUUAUCUUGAAUAUGCAAUUUUAUAUCCAGUGGCUUUCUCAGUUCAUUUUUUCAUUUUAAUAAUGGACCUGUUGCAAUUUAUUUUUUUUUGCAUUUCUUUUCUUGUUUUGACCUAUCGUCAUCUUUUUGACAUUACUUUUGCAUCUUUGUACUUCCUGGAUAAUCUCCAUAAAUGUCUUUCAGUUGUAGCUAUGGUACUUUGCUUCCAGCAGAAUUCAUGCAGUCUCUCUUCAUUUUUUUUCUUUGGUGUUGCAGUAAAUUUUUAUCCUUUUUGCUAAUGCUCUUAUUUCAGCUUUUUUUUUAUAUUGGAACAAUUCAUCAGACCAUACUGAUAUUAGGAAUGGAGUAUAGUUUUCUUUCCUAUAUAUCUCAGUAACAUAGUCUCCAGUGUUAAUGUGUAUCCUAUAGUGUAGAUCAGUGUUUCCCAUCUGGAGUGCCACAGGACUUAAGAGUACAGCAAGAUUGGCCAGGGAUGCCAUGAGAUAUUCUGGGAAUAAAAAUAUUAAGACUUUUAUUUUUAAGACUUGAAAUAUGCUUUUAUUCCCAAAAUACCUCACAGCACACUAAAGUACCAUGGCAUUCUGGUUGGGAAACAUUGG
rnacentral:lncRNA from 1 species